GGAUCUGGGUGAGAGAGACACAUACAUGAAGACAAAGACCAUUAUGUGGCACGUGGGUCUUUCACAGGAACACUGUGUUCUGUACAUUUUGUUCUACAUGUCAAGCAGAGAAACACGGACCGCGAACACACGUGAUCCUCCUGAAGAGCUCUGACGCCAUCUGCCGCACUCUUCAUCACUUCUCUCACCGGAUUUAUCUGACCAUUGGAGACCCUGUGCCGCUAGCCUGUAACACCUGACUGGACUUUUCAUAUGCUUCAACAUCGACAAUUAAUAAAUUGAAUUUCACUUGCACGUGCUUCCGAGUUUCAUUCGUGACAUGAUUGUUGUCAGCUGUGUAUUAUUAACCUUGUUAAAUCAAUUAAGCCCGGUUUAUUCCCGUCAUCCCAUCAAUUCCUUCGCAAAAUGAGUCACUGUGUGAUGC